AGUGAAUGCUGGCGGUAGGCCUAACACAUGCAAGUCGAACGGCAGCACAGUAAGAGCUUGCUCUUACGGGUGGCGAGUGGCGGACGGGUGAGGAAUACAUCGGAAUCUACUUUUUCGUGGGGGAUAACGUAGGGAAACUUACGCUAAUACCGCAUACGACCUACGGGUGAAAGCAGGGGAUCUUCGGACCUUGCGCGAUUGAAUGAGCCGAUGUCGGAUUAGCUAGUUGGCGGGGUAAAGGCCCACCAAGGCGACGAUCCGUAGCUGGUCUGAGAGGAUGAUCAGCCGCACUGGAACUGAGACACGGUCCAGACUCCUACGGGAGGCAGCAGUGGGGAAUAUUGGACAAUGGGCGCAAGCCUGAUCCAGCCAUACCGCGUGGGUGAAGAAGGCCUUCGGGUUGUAAAGCCCUUUUGUUGGGAAAGAAAAGCAGCAGGUUAAUACCCCGCCGUUCUGACGGUACCCAAAGAAUAAGCACCGGCUAACUUCGUG
rnacentral:rRNA from 1 species